rnacentral:lncRNA from 1 species
CAGUUUUCUUUUAAAGUACCUUGUAAGGGGACACCUGAACCAACUUCUUGCCGAGCCAUAAUUGAUAUGUAGGUAGUUAGCCCGGCAGGUGCCGACAUCCGAAUAUAACAUAGGCUAGCUAACAAGCUAGCAAUUCACGUCAGAAUUUGUUUGCUAGCUCGAUCACGUACGUCACGAUCUGAGAAUAUUAGGAGCGGUAGCCGGUGGAAUGCCGAACCCCUACAUAUACGUGUUGAUUAAUUAGCGAGAAGAGCUGUGGUCGUGGCUUUUACCGAGACGUCGAUCGCUAACAACUUAGUAUAAUUUAGUUGCUAAAUUAAUAAAUCUAGCAAAUUAGAAAUAGCAACUUUAAAUUUUAUUCUUCUCCAACAAUAACAUAUAAUAACUUUUUAAAUUUUGAAAUUUAUAGUAGGGUCUACAUUUAUUUCUUGUUUUUUUUUGUUUACUAGAGCCGAUCAUAUCUUUUAUUGGAGGGAUAGGGAGUUUUCUCUACUUUGCAAACUUAUGAGUUGAGGAGGAUAUUUGAUAAAUUUUUAUUUUUAAGUACCUCUUUUUUACGAAACUGUUGGAGGAGAAUUUUUUUCUCUUUUUUGCUAAAUAAUCGAGAUAGAAAGUUGUUUUACUAAGCUCGUGGAGAUGCUCAGAGAGGGAGAUAAAGCCAAGAUUUGUUAUAUAUUAACAGUAUCUACUAGCAUAGUAGCAUUAUCUAGAAACAAGAUAGAUCUCUAGGCCCUUACCCAUCUGUAGUUGCUACUCAACCUGACAAGAGUUUACGUACACACAUCUAUACCUAUACCUUAUAUUAAAGAGUCAAAUUUCAUAAAUACUCCCUCCGUCCACAAAUACUGCUAUUUCUAGCAGAUUUCAGACAGUUAGUAUGACAAACAAAAGACCAUUCUACCCUUAAUUAAUUUAGGUUCCACCAUUUAAUCAUGCACGUUAAGCCAUGAUUCUCUGGUUCCAACGAGCUGCAUUUAAUGUCAACUGAAUAGACUCAACUAAUUACCAUGCGCCAAAGUACUACUCCCUAGAAGAAAUUAAAUGAGUUGGUGAACCACGCAAGUUCCGAGGAUAAUUAAAUGGGCUGGUGGACUGAGUAUGCUAGUAGAAAUAGCAGUAUUUGUGGACAAAAUUUUCUCCUAGAAAUAGCAGUAUUUAGGGACGGAGGGAGUAUCCACCUAUGCCUA